UUUGGAGGUGUCUAGAUGAUCAUUUUGUAAGUUGGACAGGUUAACUGACAUGGUUAGACGAGUUGAGGUGCCUAGAUGUGCAUCCUCAAAGUUGGAGUGUUUAGUUACCAGUUGAGGCCAAGUUAAAGUGUGUCGCCUUCAGUCUAUACUGCAAAUCGAUAAAUGGAACAGCAGAUUAUGAGGCCAAUUAUGUUGAAGUUUUGGUUUUGAAUUUUCUUUGAGCUUUCAAGUCCACCACAAUCACUGUUAUGUUGUCCUUGCUGCCC
rnacentral:lncRNA from 1 species